AGUUCAAUGGUCGAGUUAUAGGCAUUAGAUUGUAAAUCUAAUUACGAGAGCAAUCUCUUGAACUA
rnacentral:tRNA from 1 species